rnacentral:rRNA from 1 species
CCUACGGGUGGCAGCAGUGAGGAAUAUUGGUCAAUGGCCGGAAGGCUGAACCAGCCAAGCCGCGUGAAGGACGAAGGUGCCAAGCAUUGUAAACUUCUGUUGUCAGGGGACAAAAUCAGGCUCGAGAGCCUGACCGAGGGUACUUGAAGAAAAAGCAUCGGCUAACUACGUGCCAGCAGCCGCGGUAAUACGGAGGAUGCGAGCGUUAUCCGGAUUUAUUGGGUGUAAAGGGUGCGUAGGCGGGCGGUUAAGUCAGCGGUAAAAGCCCGGGGCUCAACCCCGGCGAGCCGUUGAAACUGGCGGUCUUGAGAUGUCGAGAGGUAUGCGGAAUGCGCAGUGUAGCGGUGAAAUGCUUAGAUAUUGCGAAGAACUCCGAUUGCGAAGGCAGCAUACCGGCGGCGAUCUGACGCUGAGGCACGAAAGCGUGGGUAUCGAACAGGAUUAGAUACCCCAGUAGUC